UGUAACUUUACAGUAGCCCCCAAAGACUAGGCUGUGUACACUUCUCUGCCUCUUUGAUGUUGGGCUCAGCUAGCCGAGGCUUUAAAUGGAUUUGUGUGGUUUGGCUCAAUUUUCUAUGGUCCUGUCAUCUCCCAGAAGAAUCCACAGCAUCUGUAAAGCACUUAGGAAGUAGGAUGCAGAAUUCAAGCCAGAGAAAGGACAGUGGUGCUUCAUUGUCUCUCAUUCACUCCAAUCAAGAAACAACUUCUCAGCCAAUUAAAUAAAUUCCCCUAAAGCCCACCCCUCCUGAUCACUGAGGGCACCGUAGGGCUAUAGUAUAAAUUGCCCGCCUGAUGCACUCAGUCACAGAAUCCUUUGACAGGUAAAUGUAGACACUCCAUCCUUUACCUGAAGUUCUAUCCAUCAAGAGCAAUGAAAUAAAUUCAAUAAAUGGCCACUCCUUAAAGUUCAGA